UACGGAGGGGGCUAGCGUUGUUCGGAAUUACUGGCGUAAGCGCACGUAGGCGGCUUUGUAAGUUAGAGGUGAAAGCCCGGGGCUCACUCCGGAACUGCCUUUAAGACUGCAUCGCUAGAAUUGUGGAGAGGUAAGUGGAAUUCCGAGUGUAGAGGUGAAAUUCGUAGAUAUUCGGAAGAACACCAGUGGCGAAGGCGGCUCACUGGCUCGGUACUGACGCUGAGGUGCGAAAGCGUGGGGAGCAAACAGG
rnacentral:rRNA from 1 species